UGUUUUAAAAGGCGAGCGCCUUUUGCGCCAAGGCGCAAGGCGCACUCAGGCGACAGUCCCAUCGCCAUGCACCUCCCAGGCGAGGGUAUGGUCCCUAAGGCGCACGCCAUGGUGCGCUUUUAGUUUAAAUCUAAGGCAUCUAAGGCACCAAAAGCGCUUGAAAGGCGCGCCUUGUAGAUUCCUAUCAAAACAUAAUGUUUUGACCUAACUUUAUUUAUGUCCUACGUUCUAAUCGUGACAUGAUGGCGGCCGUUCUGUUACAUACUCUAAAUGAAGAAGACGACUAACUGUAACCUAAUUAACUCUAAUAAUAACUCAGCCCGGUUUAAUUCACUAAACCAUGUGCAUUUCAAGUUAUUUUAAUGAACCAACUCAAUUAAUAAACUAAUUAACCAAGAAGAAGGUUUGUUGAACCAAUUUAGAACCAAAUGAAACAACUUUCCGGAACUGAGAAACGUCCCAAAGGCGAGCGAUUUAAUGCGCCAUGGCGCAAGGCGCAAAGCUAGGAGCAUAUCCCCUUAGUGCGCCUAGCGCUUUUUAAAACACAGCUGCUGAUAAUUAGGAAGAAGUAUUCUUGAUAGAGUAAUAUCAAUGUUCAAUAUUUUGUAUGUCUGUGUUUUGUCUAGGAUUAGUCUCUUCAAUUUGUUCCAAGUGCUUCUCUUCAGAUUGAUCACACUACAAGAAAACAUCAAUAUAGUAACUAUUUCUGCAACUCUAGUCUUUAGUUGCAAAUAUAUGUAACCCAUCUUUAACGAUUUUUCAACAGUUUUGCAACUACAAUGAAAACGUCUUAAAUAAGUUGCAAAUGUGUAACCAAAUUUCGUGGUUGUAAAUGAGUUGAUUUAUUGUGACGCUUUUGAGACAUAUUUGCAAUUCUAUUACGAAGUCGCAACGUAGUAGCAAUAAGGCAACUAAAGGGCAACCACGUUUGUUGUUGGAAAACCGGAGUUACAGAUUAGUUGGAAAGAUAUUUAAAUGUUGUAGUUGCAAAAUUGUUGCAUUUUUGUUGUGAUGAAUUGUAAAAAAGUUGGUGUACACAUGUUUUUUUGCACGGCGUUAGGAAGUAUGUACAACUAACUUUAGCAACUAUUCUUUUAGUAGUUGUAAAAUAGUCUCAAGUAUUUCUCUAUUUAAAUCAAUCGUCCAUUCUCUUCUCAUUUGUCCGAACAAUUAUUAAAAAAACAUUUUCUUUGACGGUUUUUUAUUGAAACAAUCCACUGUUCGAUCUUUGAAGGAAAAUAUAGUCAUAAUAUUAUGUAAUUUGGAGAAGAUCUUCCCAUCUGCUUUCUUUGACGUCAUGGAACACUUAGCUGUACAUCUCCCGUAUGAAGCUAAACUAGGCAGUCCUGUGCAAUAUAGGUGGAUGUAUCCAUUUGAAAGGUUUUUCAAAAAUUAAAAAGCAAAGCUAAAAAAAAAAGAUAUCCUGCAGGAUCGAUUAUCCAGUCAUAUAUUAAUGAUGAGAUAUCUUAUUUUUCGGAGCACUACUUUGCCGCACAUAUUCAUACCAAAUUAAGGUCCACAAGAUUCGAUGAAGGCGAAGCUCAUGUUUAUCAUGUCCAAGGAAUACCAGAUAUAUUUACUCAUGUAGGUCGUCCAAGUGGGAAAAGAAAAGAAGUAUGGUUUUCUGAGAAAGAUUAUCAAUGCGCACAUGCGUAUGUUUUGCGCAACUGUGAAUAUUUCCAAUCAUAUGAAAGGUAAAAUCUUUAGUUUCAGUUAAAAAAAGUACUUGAGUAGUGAAUAAUAUUGUAAAAAAAUAUUCAUUGCUGUGUAAAUAUUUUUUCUUUUUGGUUUUAGGUUAUUCGAAGAACAAAUUCGUUUUCAAUAUCCAGAACUCUCUGAGGAAGAUAUUUCAAGCAAAUGCGAUGAAGAAUUUCCUACAUGGAUUAGAGAUUUUGUUGCUUCAACAAUCAACUCUAGUGGCGCUGAAUCUUUUCCUAUAUGGGUUCAAGAUUUGGUUCAAGGUCCUCUGAAUAAGGCAUCAACUUGACCCAUCUAUUUCACAAGAGGCUAUUUGUUUCAUACUCGAAAUUAUGGACAGAGAAGAAAAACAUGCAACUAUGGAAUAUGUGUCAAAGGAGCAAACUAUUCAGAUGCAUCCGAUGAAGUUGAUUUUCAUGGGACCUUAACAGAUAUCAUACAACUUCAAUAUCCAGGAUUGGUCAAUUUAAAAUUACACUUUUUAAAUGUGAGUGGUAUGAUCUUACGAUCGGUAAAGGCACACGAAUGAGCAUGAAUGGCAUUGUUGAUGUCCUUGCUUCAGGAAAAUAUAACAAAUACGAACCGUUUAUUCUAGGUAAAUUUGCAUAUAUCAUUAUAUAUUAAUUACGCAUUCAAUAUAAAAUAUUUAUUAUAUUAAAAUUUUUCUUUUUACACAAUGCAGCUUCUCAAGCCGACAAGUUUGUUAUAUUCCGUAUCCAUACAUCAAACAACCGAAAAAGUUGUGGCUCAAUGUUCUUAAAGUCAAUCCAAGAGCAAAUAUUUAUGGAAAUUAUAAAUCUAAAGAGCCAACUCUGCUAUAACAGGAAACUGAUGAUGAUGCCAUGGUAACAACAAUUGAAGAAAUUGUAGUUGAUCAUUUGGCAGACAAAAGAAAUCUGUUUGAAGACAUUGAUUUUGAUGCUGGAGAUGCCGAAGUAGAAGAUGAAUCUCAGUGUAAUCUUUCAUCUUCUGAUGAUGAAGAUGGCGAUGAAGAAUAAUAUUUGUCUAGUCUAUUAACAUGUAUGUUUAUGUAAGAUAAUAGAUUGUGUUGAACUUAUUAUUUAUGAAUAAUUAUCGUUUCCAACUA